UAGGGAAUAUUGGACAAUGGGGGCAACCCUGAUCCAGCCAUGCCGCGUGAGUGAAGAAGGCCCUCGGGUUGUAAAGCUCUUUUGUCCGGAAAGAAAAGCAUUCGGUGAAUACCCGGAUGUUCUGACGGUACCGGAAGAAUAAGCACCGGCUAACUUCGUGCCAGCAGCCGCGGUAAUACGAAGGGUGCAAGCGUUACUCGGAAUUACUGGGCGUAAAGCGUGCGUAGGUGGUUGUUUAAGUCUGAUGUGAAAGCCCUGGGCUCAACCUGGGAAUGGCAUUGGAAACUGGGCAGCUAGAGUGCGGUAGAGGGUAGUGGAAUUCCCGGUGUAGCAGUGAAAUGCGUAGAGAUCGGGAGGAACAUCCGUGGCGAAGGCGACUGCCUGGACCAGCACUGACACUGAGGCACGAAGGCGUGGGGAGCAAACA
rnacentral:rRNA from 1 species